rnacentral:rRNA from 1 species
AUGGAGCAAUUGAAGAAGAGAAUGGAUGCUGCUGAACAACAAAUCAAAGAGCUGCGUGAAGAUCUUAAUAGGAGAUUUGACCAGCUGGUUGAGAUGAUAAGAAAGGGUGUCCCCCCUGCUACCAAUGAAGGAGAUUCAUCUAAAGAAGAGGAAGAUGUUCAUCAAGGAAGAAGGAGAGGUAAUCUUGGAGCAAGACCGCCACAACAACAUAUUGUUCAACGUGCUUCAAGAAGUCCAAUUUAUGUUGAAGCUUCUGAAGGUGAAAAAUAUGAUGAUGCCCUUGAAGAACCAAAUCCCUAUGCAUAUCGAAGAGCACCCAACCCUACAUAUGCAAGAGAUACAUACAAGGUGAAAGCUGAUCCCAAGUUUUAA